GUGGAUUAGAUACCCGGGUAGUCCGCACUGUAAACGAUGAUUACUCGUUGCUGGGAAGCAAUUUUCAGUGACUAAGCGAAAGCGAUAAGUAAUCCACCUGGGGAGUACGCCGGCAACGGUGAAACUCAAAGGAAUUGACGGGGGCCCGCACAAGCGGAGGAGCAUGUGGUUUAAUUCGAUGAUACGCGAGGAACCUUACCAGGGCUUGAAAGUUAGUGACCGUCUCUGAAAGGAGACUUUCCGCAAGGACACGAAACUAGGUGCUGCACGGCCGUCGUCAGCU
rnacentral:rRNA from 1 species